rnacentral:tRNA from 1 species
CUUAUAGAGCAACGGUAGCUCGCUUGACUCUUAAUCAAGAGGUUGCAGGUUCGAUUCCUGCUAAG